CAGCACCACUGGACCCCAGGGAAUAAUCCCCCCCAGCACUCCGAAAGGUAAGGAGGCUGGGGGGAUUAAAUUUGAAAAAAAAAAUGUGUGUGUGUGUGUGUUAGUGUGUGUUAGUGUAUUUGUGUGUGUGUGUUAGUGUAUUUGUGUGUGUUAGUGUAUUUGUGUGUGUGUGUUAGUGUAUGUGUGUGUUAGUGUGAGUGUAUGUGUGUUAGUGUAUGUGUGUGUUAGUG